rnacentral:ncRNA from 30 species
AAUAUAUAUUGGAAAUCGCCGUGAAAGUCGGCGGAACUGCCGGUACUGUUAUAUCCAGAAAACAAUAUAUAUUUUCAUCCCCGAGCAGGGAAUCUUUUUAUUUUACU